AUCGCCUCCGGGCCUCUGGCGGAGAUCAAGCAUAACAUCGGCUCUUAGCAGUGUGGUGUCUGGUACGUCCUUUCCCCAAGGACAGCAUGGUGAGUGGGUUUCUGAAAUUAGGGGCUGGAGUGGGAGCUUGCUCACUCCACACACCGACCCGGUACUGCAGCCCUCCUGGGGUGAUGCGCCCCCU